GUUGACAUAGUUUAAAAAAAACACCAGACUGUGAAUCUGAAGAUAGGACAUUAACCUCCUUGUUUACC
rnacentral:tRNA from 1 species